rnacentral:rRNA from 1 species
AUUCGUCACACUAUCAUUAACUGAAUCCAUAGGUUAAUGAGGCGAACCGGGGGAACUGAAACAUCUAAGUACCCCGAGGAAAAGAAAUCAACCGAGAUUCCCCCAGUAGCGGCGAGCGAACGGGGAGCAGCCCAGAGCCUGAAUCAGUGUGUGUGUUAGUGGAAGCGUCUGGAAAGGCGUGCGAUACAGGGUGACAGCCCCGUACACAAAAAUGCACAUGCUGUGAGCUCGAUGAGUAGGGCGGGACACGUGGUAUCCUGUCUGAAUAUGGGGGGACCAUCCUCCAAGGCUAAAUACUCCUGACUGA